rnacentral:rRNA from 1 species
UACAGAGGGUGCAAGCGUUAAUCGGAAUUACUGGGCGUAAAGGGCGCGUAGGUGGCCUGUGGAAGUCUGCGGUGAAAGCCCGGCGCUCAACGCCGGGUCGGCCCGUGGAUACUCUCGGGCUCGAGCUUACUAGAGGCAGAUGGAAUUCCGGGUGUAGCGGUGGAAUGCGUAGAGAUCCGGAAGAACACCAGUGGCGAAGGCGGCCCGCUGGGCAGUGGCUGACGCUGAGGCGCGACAGCGUGGGAGCAAACAGG